UAUUUAAAUUCACUACUUUUUUUUAUCCAGAAACAAAUUGAUGUAAAAAUUGUUUCAGGUUUGGCUUAGUUAUAGCCUUACCCUGUCGAGGAUCCCUGGAAUUCUUCAGGGGUAAAGCCGGUUUUGAGCUUGGAAUUCUUCAGGGGUAAAGUGUUUUGAGCUUGAAAUUCUUCAGGGGUAAAGGGUUUUGAGCUUGGAAUUCUUCAGGGAUAAAGGGUUUUGAGCAUGGAAUUUUGAAAUUCUUUGAACAGGAGUAAAAGGUUUUGAGCUUGGAAUUCUUCAGGGGUAAAGGGUUUUGAGCUUGGAAUUUUGGAAUUCUUCAGGGGUAAAAGGUUUUGAGUUUGAAGUUCUUCAGGGGCCGGUUGUUCAAACUUGGAUUGGUGCUAACCCUGGGUUAAAAUUUAACCUGUGUUUUAGUUUAUGUAUUUCUGCACGUCUGUUUAUUUCAAAACUUCAGAGAAGUAAAAUUCUAUCGAUCCAGACAAGAUCUCUGAAGAAA